GAGAGACAGGAGAGGUGAUAGGAGAGACAGGUUGAGAGACAGGAGGGGUAAUGGGAGAGACAGGAGAGGUGAUAGGAGAGACAGGAUGAGGGACAGGAGGGGUGAUGGGAGAGACAGGAGAGGUGAUAGGAGAGACGGGAUGGGGGACAGGAGGGGUGAUAAAAGAGACAGGAGAGGUGAUAAGAGAGACAGGAUGGGGGACAGGAGGGGUGAUGGGAGAGACAGGAUGUGGGACAGGAGGGGUGAUGGGAGAGACAGGAGAGGUGAUAGGAGAGACAGCAGGGGUGAGAGGAGAGACAGGAGGGGUGAGAGGAGAGACAGGAGAGGUGAUAGGAGAGACAGCAGGGGUGAGAGGAGAGACAGGGG
ensembl:lncRNA